rnacentral:rRNA from 1 species
UACGAAGGGGGCUAGCGUUGUUCGGAAUUACUGGGCGUAAAGCGCGCGCAGGCGGCUAUCCAAGUCAGUGGUGAAAGCCCGGAGCUCAACUCCGGAACUGCCAUUGAAACUGUUUAGCUUGAGGACGAGAGAGGUGAGUGGAAUUCCCAGUGUAGAGGUGAAAUUCGUAGAUAUUGGGAAGAACACCAGUGGCGAAGGCGGCUCACUGGCUCGUAUCUGACGCUCAGGCGCGAUAGCGUGGGGAUCAAACAGGAUUAGAUACCCUGGUAGUCCACGCCGUAAACGAUGAAUGCCAGCCGUUGGGCAGCUUGCUGUUCAGUGGCGCAGCUAACGCAUUAAGCAUUCCGCCUGGGGAGUACGGCCGCAAGGUUGAA